CUCUAUCCUCACUCCUGGGUUUGAGACUUCAGGGAGACGAGCAGCCAUUACAGUCAGCUCUCUUGUGGAAUCGUUUUUUUAGGACAAUCCCUGCGUUUUAACUCAUUUAUAUCCUAUUUUUGUACUGACUACAAUAAUGGAGACUUUUUCUGACCAGAUUGUGAUGUUCAUGCUGGCUGCAAGCAUGGAGGAAGAAAGGGCUGGUGAACAUCAGGAUCAAAGUCAGCAAAUAUCUGCAUUGGAGUUUUACGUCCUGUUGACGCACCUUCCCAGGCCUGUUUUCCAAGUUUCGUCCUGUUGACGACCUGUUACCCCCUGUUUUUUCCUGUUGUUGGGUUGCUGCAAAUAUUGGACCCGUUUAUCCAACUCUACCAUGGGCAACCUACUUGUGAUGUGGACCUGAACCUCCGCCAUGUAGCAGACACCCCCCUCAGGUCUUGCGGAGUAUCCUUCCCAAGUGGCGUGGAUGUGAAGGGACACGACUGUUCCCCUGAUGUACCAUGGCAUGGGCGACCUACUUGUGAUGUUGACCUGAACCUCCGCCAUGUAGCAGACAACCCCCCUCAGGUCUUGCGGAGUAUCCUUCCAAAGUUGCUUGAAUCAUCAUGGAUGAAAAGGGACACAACAGUUCCCCUGCUGUACCAUGGGCGACCUAACACAAUACCACUGCAUCUCAUAUUUUACAUUUUAUUUACUAAUAAUUUAAAGAAAAACCACACAAAACUUCUUAUUUUAAAAAUUUAU